rnacentral:rRNA from 1 species
UACGUAGGGUGCGAGCGUUAAUCGGAAUUACUGGGCGUAAAGCGUGCGUAGGCGGUUGGCAAAGUCAGCUGUGAAAGCCCCGGGCUUAACCUGGGAAUGGCGGUUGAAACUAGUCGACUCGAAUCUGGCAGAGGGGGGUGGAAUUCCACGUGUAGCAGUGAAAUGCGUAGAUAUCUGGAGGAACACCGGUGGCGAAGGCGGCAUCCUGGACCAACACUGACACUGAGGAGCGAAAGCCAGGGGAGCAAACGGG